CACGUAGGCGGACCAGAAAGUCAGAGGUGAAAUCCCAGGGCUCAACCUUGGAACUGCCUUUGAAACUCCUGGUCUUGAGUUCGAGAGAGGUGAGUGGAAUUCCGAGUGUAGAGGUGAAAUUCGUAGAUAUUCGGAGGAACACCAGUGGCGAAGGCGGCUCACUGGCUCGAUACUGACGCUGAGGUGCGAAAGCGUGGGGAGCAAACA
rnacentral:rRNA from 1 species